GUGCUUACUUCGGCAGCACAUAGACUAAGAUUGGAAUAAUACAGAGAAGAUUAGGAUGGUCCCUGUGCAAGGAUGACAUGCAAGUUUGUGAAGUGUCCUUUACUACU
rnacentral:snRNA from 1 species